GUAGGGAGCAAGCGUUGUUCGGAAUUAUUGGGCGUAAAGAGCGCGUAGGCGGCCAGGUAAGUCUGGUGUGAAAUCCCACAGCUCAACUGUGGAACUGCAUUGGAAACUGCUUGGCUAGAGUGCGGGAGAGGAGAGUGGAAUUCCCAGUGUAGAGGUGAAAUUCGUAGAUAUUGGGAGGAACACCAGUGGCGAAGGCGGCUCUCUGGACCGCAACUGACGCUGAGGCGCGAAAGCUAGGGGAGCGAACGGGAUUAGAUACCCCCGUAGUCCUAGCCGUAAACGAUGGGCACUAGGUGUAGGAGGUAUCGACCCCUUCUGUGCCGUAGCUAACGCAUUAAGUGCCCCGCCUGGGGAGUACGGUCGCAAGACUA
rnacentral:rRNA from 1 species